rnacentral:rRNA from 1 species
UUGGGAGACCGGCUGAAGGAAGAAGGAAUUUCCUUAUUCCCUUCAGAUAUCCCAAGGUCGUUCGAGAUUGGUAGUAUCGCGCUUUCAAACUAUCUCAGGUUCGACACAAUACUCUCCGUCGCCGUAUUCACCCAAGCGUGGGAGAGAGCAAUCCUUACCGUCGAAUUCGGUUCUAACCACCUAGAAGUAACAAGAGAUUGCUAAACUAGAAAGAGUUGAGAAGCUCCCCUAGACAACAGAGGGUGAAGGAAAAGCUUUAGAACAAUUGAGCAAAAGAAUUCAGCAAUCUUGCUUGAUGAGAAGCAAGCCUGCUGGGUUUAAGCUCCAGCAAGAACCUUGAAAACUGCAUAGCAACAAAAAUUCUGUCAGGUAGAUAGCUUAAAGCCAAUGGCUUGAAGCUAAGUAUCACAGACACCAAUAAAGGUAUUGU